AAGGGUAUAGCUCAAGGGGUAGAACACAUGCUUAGCAUGCAUGAGGUCCUGGGUUCAAUCCCCAGUACCCCCA
rfam:Camelus ferus unplaced genomic scaffold scaffold1331, whole genome shotgun sequence.